GAUAUGUAUAUUUUAUAAUAUCGAUAAAUUAUGUAUGUAUGUAUGUACAUACGUAUGUAUGAUAGUAUGUAAAUAUUUGAUGUAACUUUUAUUCAAUAUAUAGAUAUUAAAUGAGUUAUUGGGUAACCCGAUUAUUUUUUCGUAUUGGAUUUGAGUCUCAAUAUUUUGACACGAUUAUUAAAUAAGUCGGGUUUGGAUCGACCUAAAUUUGACACGACACGAACACGAUUCGAUGACCCAUUUUGCCAGUUCUACUUAAGCGGGGUCACCAUCACGUGAUCACACACACCAAACAUUUUUGCCAAUUAAUAAUUCCUAUUGCUUGCAAUGUGGGAAUUGGACCCGACGGUCGAUGUGAGGCUGAUUAAAAUCUUUAACUAAUUACUUUUUUUUUUGUCCCUUUAAACAAUUGAGUAAAACGCACGUAGUAUUACGAAAGCUGGAAAUCAUAGAAGUCAAAAGUUUUGAUAAAGAGAAUAAAGGGAGGAGAUAAUGUAGAAAUUAAAGGGUAAAAGCAUUCUUUCUUUCUUUUUGUUUUUUUCUUUCUUUCCCCCCUAUUUUUUACAAAAAGGGUAACCAAUAAGCCUGCAUUAUAGUAGGAUCCGGUGCUUAGAACUUUUUGUAUUGUCUUUUUGUGCGAUAAUGGUAAAAAAAAAAGUUAAAAAAAAAAUGAGUGGUGCUAUUGGCGCAUCCCCAACAUUCUCUUACAACCUCACUUAAUUUUACUUACAAUUUUAUCUCUAAUUGAAAUUUAUUCUCGACACCCACACUUUUUAUCUCUAAUUGAAAUUUCUUCUCGACGUCCACACACAUAAAUUGUACAUGAAGACACAUUGUAAAGCCAAUUAAUGUAAACAUUAUAAAAAAUGAUUUCCUUAGAAAGAAAUAAUUUUACACAUGAAAGCACUCACUCUCAUAUAGUUUGUUUGUAAAUCUUUUAAUACCCACGUGAUUCAACUUCCAGAAUUAGCUGCAUUCAGCCAACCAAACUUCAAAUUAUUCAUUUUCAUAGUAUAAAAUUAUGAAAAGUUGAAUAAAUAGACAAACUAUGAUAGAUAAAAAUAAUCAAUAAGAUAAGUAGUUAUUAUAUUGUUUGUAUUAUAUAUUCUUAAAUCCCUCGAUAAAUGGAUUUAAGGAGGAGGAUACUGCAAAAAAAAUUACCUGAAGAAGUUAAAGAAAGAGAACUUAAAUGGGCUUUGUUAGGAGAAAGAGUAAUAAAGGUAUUUGUGAAAUAAAAGAGGGCGUUUAAUAUAUAUAUAUAUAUUUUACUUUGUAUGGAAAAUGAGUUUUAAUUAAGAGGAUAAUAGAG
rnacentral:lncRNA from 1 species